rnacentral:lncRNA from 1 species
CUUUUCUCAUUCUCUCCCACAAUGUCUCGAGAUAUCCACUGAGCUUUUCGCUUUGCGGGUGAGAUGAGUCACCGGCUACAAAUUUAUGUACUUCAUCGCCAUGCUCAAUCCAGCUACAUCCAGGUUCUUUUCUCACGCCUUGCUCUUUCAUAUUUCUUCUUACCUCUGUUGCUUUAUCCCAGAGGCCUGCUGAUGAAUAAAUAUUGGCAAGUAACACAUAGUGACUAGCUACAUUUGGUUCCAGUUGAAUGAGAUUUUGAGCAGCAAUUUCUCCAAUUUCUAGGUUAUUGUGAAUCCGACUGGCACCAAGGAGGCUACUCCAUGCUCCAGCUUUGUUGAAAUCACGAGGCAUCAUAUUCAUGAGUUGAUAUGCUUCUUUAAUUCUACCAGCCCUUCCAAGCAAAU